rnacentral:rRNA from 1 species
GAUGAACGCUGGCGGCGUGCCUAAUACAUGCAAGUCGAGCGAACAGACGAGGAGCUUGCUCCUCUGACGUUAGCGGCGGACGGGUGAGUAACACGUGGAUAACCUACCUAUAAGACUGGGAUAACUUCGGGAAACCGGAGCUAAUACCGGAUAAUAUAUUGAACCGCAUGGUUCAAUAGUGAAAGACGGUUUUGCUGUCACUUAUAGAUGGAUCCGCGCCGCAUUAGCUAGUUGGUAAGGUAACGGCUUACCAAGGCAUCGAUGCGUAGCCGACCUGAGAGGGUGAUCGGCCACACUGGAACUGAGACACGGUCCAGACUCCUACGGGAGGCAGCAGUAGGGAAUCUUCCGCAAAGGGCGAAAGCUUGACGGAGCAACGCCGCGUGAGUGAUGAAGGUCUUCGGAUCGUAAAACUCUGUUAUUAGGGAAGAACAAAUGUGUAAGUAACUAUGCACGUCUUGACGGUACCUAAUCAGAAAGCCACGGCUAACUACGUG